CGUGAGGGAUGACGGCCUUCGGGUUGUAAACCUCUUUCAGUAGGGAAGAAGCGAAAGUGACGGUACCUGCAGAAGAAGCGCCGGCUAACUACGUGCCAGCAGCCGCGGUAAUACGUAGGGCGCAAGCGUUAUCCGGAAUUAUUGGGCGUAAAGAGCUCGUAGGCGGUUUGUCGCGUCUGCCGUGAAAGUCCGGGGCUCAACUCCGGAUCUGCGGUGGGUACGGGCAGGCUAGAGUGAUGUAGGGGAGACUGGAAUUCCUGGUGUAGCGGUGAAAUGCGCAGAUAUCAGGAGGAACACCGAUGGCGAAGGCAGGUCUCUGGGCAUUAACUGACGCUGAGGAGCGAAAGCAUGGGGAGCGAACAGGAUUAGAUACCCUGGUAGUCCAUGCCGUAAACGUUGGGCACUAGGUGUGGGGGACAUUCCACGUUUUCCGCGCCGUAGCUAACGCAUUAAGUGCCCCGCCUGGGGAGUACGGCCGCAAGGCUAAAACUCAAAGGAAUUGACGGGGGCCCGCACAAGCGGCGGAGCAUGCGGAUUAAUUCGAUGCAACGCGAAGAACCUUACCAAGGCUUGACAUGGACCGGACCGCCGCAGAGAUGUGGUUUCUCCUUUUGGGGCCGGUUCACAGGUGGUGCAUGGUUGUCGUCAGCUCGUGUCGUGAGAUGUUGGGUUAAGUCCCGCAACGAGCGCAACCCUCGUUCCAUGUUGCCAGCGC
rnacentral:rRNA from 1 species